UUUUAAGCUACUAAGAGCGCACGGUGAAUGCCUUGGCGGUAGAAGCCGAUGAAAGACGUGGUAUGGCUGCGAUAAGCCUCGGGGAGUCGCCGAACAGACUUCGAUCCGAGGAUUUCUGAAUGGGGAAACCCAAUCAUUAGAUUACCCGAAAGGGUGGGACACGCAGGGAAUUGAAAAAUCUUAGUACCUGCAGGAAGAGAAAUCAAAAGAGAUUCCCCCAGUAGUGCGAGCGAAAAGGGAAGAGUCCAAACCUGAGGAGCAUUGAAGUUCUGCGAACUUCAAUGCGACGAAGACUACGCCGAAGUCCGUAAGGACGGAGGCGAGCUUCAUAGAUAUUUGAGUAGGUCCGCCUACGCCCGACUUCGUCGAGGCUACGGCGUGACUCUGAGGAGCAUUCAAGCUCCUCAGCGGAGCUUGAAUGCUCCUCAGGGGUUGUAGGGCGUGUAUAAAGCUGACCUAAGUUGAUAGCUGAAGAGAGUUGGAAAGCUCUGCCAUAGAGGGUGACAGUCCUGUAAGCGAAAUUGACAAAGGCGGCGAGCACGUUCCUGAGUACUACGGGACACUAGGUAUCCUGUAGGAAGCCGGGGCGACCAUUGCUCCAAGACUAAAUACUAACUACCGACCGAUAGUGAACUAGUACCGUGAGGGAAAGGUGAAAAGAACCCCGAUGAGGGGAGUCAAAAGAUCCUGAAACCGUGCGUUUACAAGCAGUGGAAGUGCUAUGGCCUUCGGGCAAUGCACGACCGCGUACCUCUUGUAUCAUGAGUCAGCGAGUUACGUCUGUGUGGCGUAAGGUUAAGCCGAUAAGGUGGAGCCGUAGCGAAAGCGAGUCUUAAAAGGGCGAAUAAGUCACAUGGAGUAGACCCGAAGCCCGUGCGAUCUACCCAUGACCAGGUUGAAGCUAGGGUAACACCUAGUGGAGGACCGAACCGGUAAAGAUUGAAAACUUUUCGGAUGAGUUGUGGGUUGGAGUGAAAGGCUAAUCAAGCCGGGCGAUAGCUGGUUCUCCCCGAAAUAUAUUUAGGUAUAGCCUCAGGCAAUAUAUCUAGAGGGGGUAGAGCACUGAAUGGACUAGGGGCCCUACCAGGCUACCAAACCCAAAUAGUCUCCGAAUACCUCUAGAGUCAGAACCUGGGAGUCAGUUGAUGGGUGAUAAGGUCCAUUAGCGAAAGGGAAAUAGCCCAGAUCGCCAGUUAAGGUCCCAAACUUCAUGCUAAGUGAAGAAGGAUGUGGGAGGACUUUGCCAACUAGGAGGUUGGCUUAGAAGCAGCAAUCCUUUAAAGAAAGCGUAAUAGCUCACUAGUCCAGUCAGCCCGCGCCGACGAUUUAACGGGGCUAAGCAUGAGACCGAAACUGCGAAUUUAGGAUUAUCUUCGGAUAAUCUGGAGUGGUAGGGGAGCGUCGUCUACGCAUUGAAGCCGGAUCGAGAGAACCGGUGGAGCGUAGUCGAGUGAGUAUGCUGACAUCAGUAAACGAUCAGGGGAGCGAGAAACUCCCCCGCCGUAUGUCCAAGGUUUCCUGGGCCAGGGUCAUCCUCCCAGGGUAAGGCGGAUCCUAAGACGAGGCCGAAAGGAGUAGUCGAUGGAACACAGGUUAAUAUUCCUGUCCUAAUUGCAAUGUGCGAUGGAGGGACGCAGGAGGGUAGAUGAUCCACAUAGUGGAUAGUGGUUCAAACCCGUAGGAAUUGGAGAUAGGCAAAUCCGUCUCCAUCUAUUCCGAGAGGUGAAUACGAGCAAAGGGGCAACCCGGAGCGAAGUCAUUGAUCCCAGACUGCCGAGAAAAUCUUCUAAGUUUAGUUGUAAUUAUCCGUACCGAAAACCGACACAGGUGGACAAGUAGAGUAUACUAAGGCGCUUGAGAUAAUCGUGGUUAAGGAACUUAACACAUUACCACCGUAACUUCGGGAGAAGGUGGGCCUUUAAUGGUUAGGAGCUUCGCGCUCCGAAGCCGCUGAAGGUUGCAGAUAGCAGGGGGUAGCGACUGUUUACCAAAAACACAGGACUCUGCGAACACGAAAGUGGAUGUAUAGGGUCUGACGCCUGCCCGGUGCCGGAAGGUUAAGGUGAGCUGUCAGCGUAAGCAAAGCGGUCAACCGAAGCCCCGGUAAACGGCGGCCGUAACUAUAACGGUCCUAAGGUAGGAAAGCUGCCUUAGUAAAAUUCGGCUAUUUGCUGGAAACUCCGAGUAUGCACAGGUACCCAUCGUUGUCAUUGCGAGGCGCGUAGCGCUGAAGCAAUCCCUAACGAUGAGGUGACAAUCCUGGGCUGCGGACAAUCAGCAGGAAAGACUAAUCGAAGUUUGAUUAGAAUCCUCAGAGACUACACGCCGAAGAUUUGUCUGUUUACAACCUCACCUGACGGUGAAGUUGGCGAUAGAUAAUUCAAGAUAUAGUCCCAUCUGCAUGGCGACAUGCAGGGGACUUUUAGAAAUAGAAGUCCCGCUCAAUGAAAUGAGUAAGAGUCAUAAGCGAAAUUCCUUGUCGGGUAAGUUCCGACCUGCACGAAUGGCGUAACGACUUCCCCAUUGUCUCAACCACGAUCUCAGUGAAGUUGAAUUCGAAGUGAAGAUGCUUCGUUGCCGCAGAAAGACGAAAAGACCCCGUGCACCUUUACUAUAACUUUGCUUUGAUUCCGGGAAUUGUAUGUGUAGGAUAGGUGGGAGCCACUGAAACUUGGGCGCUAGCUCAGGUGGAGGCAACCUUGAAAUACCACCCUUACACUUUCUGGUCUCUAACCGCGUGGGAUUAUCUCCCACCGAGACAGAGCAUGGUGGGUAGUUUGACUGGGGCGGUCGCCUCCCAAAGAGUAACGGAGGCGCGCAAUGGUGGAUUUAGCGUGCUUGGAAACCACGCGUUAAGUGUAAAGGCAAAAAUCCGCUUGACUGCGAGAGGGACACCUCGAGCAGGGACGAAAGUCGGCCUUAGUGAUCCGGCGAUCCUGUGUGGAAGGGUCGUCGCUCAACGGAUAAAAGGUACGCCGGGGAUAACAGGCUUAUCUCCUCCAAGAGUCAAAAUAUUGCUGACGUCUGUUUCUUUUUGAAACAGAUAGCAAUUUGUCUCAACAUUUUUCAAAAAGGAACGAUGUUGAGUGUGGGCUCCCCCAAGCCGUAAGGCUUGGGUAA
rnacentral:rRNA from 1 species